AGCAGAAGGUGAGGUGAGGCUACCUGAACCCAGUGUGAGCUAACAGUACAGUAGGAUGUUAUGACUAGAACUGGGCUCAGCGCUGUCCUGUUAUGUUUGGCUUCACCCGCUGUAUGUGUUUAGAUGGUGAGAUAGCGACGGCAGAACGCUAAGCUGGAAGGCCCACACUGGAAAACUGCAGAUGAAGAGGAAAAAAAUAAGAAAACGCUGCACCUUCAGCCGACUGGUAUAAAUACAGACGUACCGACAAAAUCUCCCUAGGAAACGUCUGCUAGAUGGUUUGCAAACGUUCAGAAGGUUAGCGAGGCAGAGGAGGAGCAGCUGGAAGCCGAGCGGACGAGGAGACGGUCGGAAUGGAUUUAAAAACCUCGGCAGCAGCAGCAGGAGAUGGACGAGGUCCUGACAUGAAAAGUGAAAGACUGAAGCAGAAGAUGGAGACUCUCAUUUCCUGCCGUGCCGACUGCCAAUGACUUUCUUCUUUCUGCUGAAGCGAGGGAAUCUGUCUGAGGAGGCCGCGACCUCUGGAUCGGGGAAACCGACUCUCGCUGCAUAACAACGCUGCUUUUAUGGGCCUGGCGCGAGGAUAAAGGCUUUUUAAUGUACAUACCACGGCCCCGCUGCAUAAAUCACACUCACUUGUGCAGUCACGCAGACUUAACGGGAAUACUUUAACAUCAGCGAUUAGUCAAUCCAAAGACGUCUGUAAAUGUUACAUAAACCAAAACGGGUUCUAUUUUUACUCCAUCUAUGACUAUAUGCUCUGUGACUAUAACUGCAUGAAGCCUUUCACCUCGUUACUAAUCAGAUUAAAGGCUCUGUGAGAAUAAAUACAGGCCUUUCUGGAAGGCAUUCAGCAGAUCAAUAUUUAUCAUGUGAAAGUCUUAUUUUUACGACACUAUUUGGAGAAUCUGUGGUCUUUGUUGCUUGUUGUGCAACAGCUGUUUCCAUAAACCAACACAAAUGUGAAAAUCUACUUGAACUUUGACAUUAAAUAGUAAAUUGGAAUGGAAGCACAAAUACCUUCAUCAUAACCGUUGUUUGUGUGAAAGAUGCAGAUAUUAAAGAACAAAAGUAAGAACAGCUUCAACAUUCAAGUACUAAAGUGCCAGAAAAACAGAUAUUAAAGCACAGAAAUGCCAAAAACACAGAUAUUAAAGUACAAAAGUCACAAUAACUCUGAUAUAAUUGUACCAAAGUCUCAAAAACAUGAAAAUUAAAGCACAAAAAUGCCAAAAACCCAGAUAUUAGAGCACAAAGGUACAAAUAAUUUCAUCAUUAUUGCACUAAAAUGUCAAAAACCCACAUAUUAAUGCUCCAGAGUGUAGUAAAUCUGGAUAUUAAAACACAAAAAUCACAAUAACUUUAAUACAAUCAUACUAAAGUGUCAAAAAUAUGAAUAUUAAAGAACAAAAGUGUCACAAACCCAACUAUUAGAGCACAAAAGUAGAAAUAACUUCAUCAUUAAUGUACCAAAGUACCAAAAACCUAGAUGAUAGGGCACAAAUGUCCAAACACCUUCAUCAUAACUGCUGUAGUGUGAAAGGUCCAGAUAUAAAAGAACAAAAGUAACAACAGCUUCAACAUUCAAAUACUAAAGUACUAAAAAACAGGACUUUAGUGGCUUUAAUUUAUCACUAAAAACUGGCAGCAUCAAGACUGAAAUGUGUUUAUCGCAAAACUUGAAGGAAUCAUCUCGACCUUGAUGAGUUUUAUUGAAUAAAUGAAUAACGAACUGGGAGCAGGAGGGAGUUAAAUUAAAGUUCACAUUGUCCUGCAUGGUUCACUUUGACUUUUAAUAACUGUGGAGAAACACUCUGAACCUCUCUGUUGAUUUAUUUAUUUUUUAAAUCACCAAAAAAGGCUACAACCUGAAAGCGAAGCCAGAGAUGUGGAAGGUUGUGAACCGUCGCCAAAAGAGCCUUUUUGAUCUGAGCCGGACUUCAUCUCCUCUUUCUCAGUCUAAUCUUUAGCUGUGAGUCAUGAAAACAACCUUGAGUUUUCUGAGCUUUAAAGCUGCUCUAAUUAAUAUUUCUGACCCGAACACACUGCACUUGUUUCUGUUAACGUGACUGAGCACAAAUGCUCGCUUUCCCACAAAAGUUGAGGCGGCAAUUUUACUAGAUUGGACGUUGUGAGAUUUUACUUUAAAUAAGAAACAAGUCCUGCAUGUGGAAGCGACACACUUUGAAUUGAAGCUUUUUAAGUAUUUGAGCACCAACAGGCUCAGUUUGUAACCCACAAAACACCUUCCUCGUUCAGGAAGUUCUAAAAUCCCACAUCUACUACACAUUAAAAUAUCUCUAACGAGAAAAGCACUCAGAGAGCGCAGUACUCCGCCAAGGCUGCUCAGUCAUUGGUCAUUCGUUUUGUGGUUGUUUUGCAUCAAAUUUUGCUAAUUUAGUGUCUUUGUGUUUGCUUUGCAUCUUUUUAUGGAUGUUUUGCAUCUCAUUUGGAUUGUUUUGUGUUUGUUGUACAUCUUUUUUGUGGUUGUUUAGUGUGUCAUUGAUUUGCUUUGUGUUUAUUUUGCAUCUUUUGUUAUUGUUUUGUGUCCAAUUUGUUUUUUUUUGUGGUUCUUUAACAUCUUUAGUGGUUGUUUCACAUCUCAUUUGGGUUUGUUUAACAUAUUUUUCUGAUUGUUUAGCAUCUCAUUGGUAUAUUUUCUAUUUGUUUCACAUCUUUUUGAGGUUGUUUAGCAUCUCAUUGGUUUGUUUUGUAUUUGUUUUGCAUCUUUUUGAGGAAGGUUUCCAUCUCAUUUGGCUGUUUUGUGUUUGUUUUGCAUCUUUUUGUUGUUGUUUUGCAUCUAACUUGGUUGUUUUGCAUUUGUUUUGCAUCUUUUUGUCAUUGUUUUGUGAUAAUUCUGCACCUUUCUGUGGUUGUUUUAAGUGUGAUUUUGGUUAUUUUACAUUUCUUUGUGUUUGCUUUGCAUCUUAUUGUGGUUGUUUUGUGAAGGAAGCAUAAAAGGCCAAAAACUAACAGGCAUGAAAACAUUCUUUUAAAUAAUUUGCUCACAAUUUUCAGAAAAAGCGAGACAAUUAAAAAAAAACAAAAAACAAUUACAGCUGAAUGCACAUUUCCAGAACUAUCUAUUACUUCUGCUUGGUGACAAAAAAAAUCUGGUUUUACAGAUAAUAGAGCAGAAAAGUGUCCUGUUUGUGCCGCUGUGAUGCAGAUUAGAUCUUUCCCUUCUCUGACUUCCAUUAAACUCUCUCUGUAGGGAUCCAUCUCACUCUAUUGAUUCGGCUUGAUGGGUGAGCUUUCUUGAAUUAAAAACGAUAAUCCUCCCCCACCUUCCUCUCAAAAUAUGUGACUCGUGCACCGCUGAACUUCAAAAUAACUCGAAAAAGACUCCGGUUUUA